GAUGUUGGAAAGAGAGGCUGAAUUUAGCGCAGCCCAGACCUAAAUCCCCCGCGCCACUCCCCCUUCACACGCGGUCACGUUCAGUGUACACCGUCACGUCACUGAGGCUAAAGAGACAACGCUUUAUAUAUACAGACAGUCUAUGCUAACAACCGACAACAGUUUGCUCCAAAAGGUAAGAGACGAAAACAUAUUUAUUUUCUAACCUGCCUCCUUAAUGUCUGUAUGUAAUGUAACAUGUUCUCAUAUAAAAGAGUAAAAUAAGCCAAACCACUCAUCAGCAACCGCUACUGUGGCUAAGCUAAUGUUGGGUGUUUGCACAGUAAUUUUCCAUACUUUUCAUAGUUAACCAAAAUGCUAGAAAUGUAUGCAUGCCAGCAGUUCUGCAAUGUUAACUCUGUAUGCAUUAGCUAACUUUCUAGAAACCAGACUUUGCAUUUAUAAUUCGUUUUAUAUAUAUAUAUAUAUAUUUGUAUUUAAAAUCUAUAAAUGUGAGAUGAAAAAACUAAAAAUGACAUGUCUUUUUCACAACUAAUUUCCAAUGCAAUGUCCCUACCAUUGUAAACGACGAUGCAUACAGAAUCUUCAAGAACACAUAUUAUUUUAAAGAGGCGUGAAGAGCUAAUCAUUUGUACUUUAUUUAUAGAUGGCAGAAAUAGCCGGAUCGUCAUCCAGAGAGGAAAUCCUGAGGAAAGUGGGCCUCCCGCCAUACUUGGACAAGGUCCCAAUGUGUGGAUAAUAGGGAGCAGCUACGUUAGACGUGGGGAAGAAAGAGCCAGACACACCAUGGGAAGCAACCUGGGUCUCAAUUGCCGUGUGUGGUGGUUUGGCAAGGGUGGUCUGAGGUGGAGGAACCUUCUUCCCUUUUUCUAUCAGUCCUUGAGAGGAAGAACAGUCCCGGAUGUCUUGCUCAUCCACUGUGGCAGCAACGACCUUGGCAACAUCAAAGGUGUGGAGCUUGUCACAGCGAUGAAGCAGGACCUGCUUUCCCUCAGUGACAACUUCUCAGAGAUGAAGAUAAUUCUAUCUUCUAUCAAUGAGAGAUGUCACUGGAGGAAAGCCAAUCCGGGAAAGCUGAACAAGGCCAGAAUGUGGGUGAACAGAGAGAUGGGUAAAUGUGUUAGUGGUUUGGGUAGAGUGUAAGGCAUCCUUGCAUUAAGUUUGACUGCCCUGGCAUAUUUCUAAGAGAUGGAGUUCAUUUCACCAAUUUGGGAAAUGAUAUGUUUUUAAGUAACCUUAAACAGUCCCUUGAGGCUACAAUCUAAAGUGGUUCUGCAUUUUGGAUUAUAGCCUCAACAGGAUAUGUAUAUUUAACAAGAAUAACUUUUAAAUUUGACAGGGCAGUCCUCCUUGUAAGGAUGUCUUCACUUACUCACACUAUUUUUUUAAAUGUGUAAUUUAAUUAAAUUGUUCACUCACAUUGUGUUCUUCCUCUCUCUUAAACUUUAGUCCCCUUGUCUUUUUCUCUCUUUCCUUCACUCAUCUUAGUCCCCUUGUCUUUUUCUCUCUUUCCCUCACUCAUCUUAGUCCCCCUGUUUUGUUUCUCUCUUUCCCUCCCUCAUCUUCCCCAGCCUCACCAGCCUCACCCAGCUGUGGUGUGUCUGUUCUCUUUCUUCUCCAUUUUGGAUGCUGCCCAGGAGGAAGCGCAGCCACUUCAAGACACUGUGCCUGAGAUCGUAACAGACAACCGUCAUCGGCCAGAUCACAGACGGCGACGAGACGGC